rnacentral:rRNA from 1 species
UACGUAGGGGGCAAGCGUUGUCCGGAAUCAUUGGGCGUAAAGCGCGUGUAGGCGGCCAUCCAAGUCUGAUGUGAAAGCUCGGGGCUCAACCCCGAGUCUGCAUUGGAAACUGGCUGGCUAGAGUCCGGAAGAGGAGACUGGAAUUCCUGGUGUAGCGGUGAAAUGCGCAGAUAUCAGGAAGAACACCGGUGGCGAAGGCGGGUCUCUGGGACGGUACUGACGCUGAGACGCGAAAGCGUGGGGAGCAAACAGGAUUAGAUACCCUGGUAGUCCACGCCGUAAACGAUGGGCACUAGGUGUGGGAGGUGUCGACUCCUUCCGUGCCGUAGCUAACGCAUUAAGUGCCCCGCCUGGGGAGUACGGCCGCAAGGCUA